AUAAAUAGAGGAGAAAAAUAGGAAAUAAACAGCACUAACGGCAACAGCAAAUAAGGAGGGUAAACACCACUGGCUGAAUGAUAUUAAAGACAAAAUCAAUCUCAUACAUCAUGCUUUAGAUAAGAUGAUCCUAGUUGUCUUUCCUUACUUUCAUUGCCACAUUCCAUUGCACCGCAUAAAGCGCCAUAUUUUCAGUGUCUUGGCUCUUGUGAUACGCUUUUUAUCAUAACAACGAAUGUUUUAUGACGUAUAACACAUCGGUAAAUGACGUAUUUAGUUCUUAGUGGAAUUUCUUCCGUUUUUAAAUUCUGAGUUCAAAUUCCGCUGCAGUUGCGUUUGCCUUUCAUUUUUUCGGGGUCGAUAAAUACGAACGUCACAAACUGUUUUGCAACUAUGUACUCCGAGUGAGAAACCUCUUCAGCUGCAGCAAAAUUGAGUCGAACAGUUUGUGAAAAUAUAAACAAUUAUCAAGUUUUUUCGUGUGUGAUAAUAAAUAACUCCAAAGACA
rnacentral:lncRNA from 1 species